CAUACAAUCUCAACUGAGGUUGUAUUAAGACUUUUAACGGUUGAAUGCCGGCAAACAAAGUAAUAUGAUUCUUUUCAAAUGUCACGGUCAUAUAGCGUCGGCAAAUGCAACUUGGAGCAAUCUACAGCGUACUUCAUGGGAAGAAGUGAUUACCACUAUAUGGUUACAACAAUCUACUCUAAAAAUAAGUUCUACCCAGUUUUACCCACCAGAACGCCUGUUAUUCCAUGGAUUAUUUUACUCGGGGCGAUCACCCUUUCGAACCUGGAGGUCUAUUGUGCAGUAGAUUAAGUAGAGUUCAUCUUUUCCAAUGACCACGGCGUAUGAAGAGGA